GCGGAUGUAGCUUAACUGGAAGAGCGCCGGAUUUGGGUCCGGAGGUCGCAGGUUCGAUUCCUGCCAUUUGCACCA
rnacentral:tRNA from 15 species